rnacentral:rRNA from 1 species
GACAGAGGGGGCAAGCGUUUGUCCGGAGUGACUGGGCGUACAGCGCGCGCAGGUGGGUGGUGACGUGCCUUGUGACAGCGCUCGGCUCAACCGAGCGAGGCCACGGUAGACGCACCGUCUAGAGUAAGAGAGAGGCAGGUGGAAUACCCGGUGGAGCGGUGAAAUGCGUAGAGAUCGGGUGGAACACCAGGGGCGAAGGCGGCCUGCUGGCCCUGUACUGACGCUGGAGGCGCGAUAGCGUGGGGAGCAAACGGG